UCUAACAGCUAAAGGUAUACUUUGUGGCAGAACUGCAACUGCCUAAGUGUUAGAAGUCUCACAGAAAAGAAUGGUACACAACAUUCUUAGGUGUGAACCUUGCAAGAUAAUUAAGUAAACAAAUGUAGCAAGUAAGUGUUGUAGUGUGUAAUACAACAUUUUUUG
rnacentral:sRNA from 12 species